rnacentral:rRNA from 1 species
UACGAAGGGGGCUAGCGUUGUUCGGAAUUACUGGGCGUAAAGCGCACGUAGGCGGGCUGUUAAGUCAGGGGUGAAAUCCUGGAGCUCAACUCCAGAACUGCCUUUGAUACUGGCAACCUAGAGACUGGAAGAGGUUAGUGGAAUUCCCAGUGUAGAGGUGAAAUUCGUAGAUAUUGGGAAGAACACCAGUGGCGAAGGCGGCUAACUGGUCCAGCACUGACGCUGAGGUGCGAAAGCGUGGGGAGCAAACAGG